CCGGUGAGCCUUUUCAGUGUUGCGUUCGGUUUACGCAAAAGCCUGAAGAACGUGAACCACAGAAUUAUUCAGUCCUGUGAGCUCGAGCGUUGCGUAGAAUCUCUUCCAGUUGCUCGCAGAUGACGUUGUCUUUGUUGGAGCGGCGUUUGAACAAAUUAAGCCAAAUUACCAAAAGCACCUGCUGAGAUCCUGUGGGAUGACAUCAUGAGUUCUGACGGAACGCACUUAGAUGCCGGCUGACUCAGCUCCACAGCAAAUAUGGCAGUUCAAUGUGCCACUUCUUUCUUAAGGACCCUCUGCAUAUGACACAGAGCUCAAAAGCAAAAUGCUGGAAUUCGAUUGCAAAGAACACAACAGUUUGUUGAGUUGCAUUAUGUCUUUUGAAGUGCCUUUAGUUUUCCCAUCUCCUUUUACAGACCAAAGAACCUACAUCCAGUAAGUGAUGAAAGCAGAUGCAGUGAUCCACAACCAAGCACUUGGCUGAACUCCUAGACUUCAGUUGAAGAAAGGGAGGAGAGAUCACUAGAGCAAGUGAGGUCAAGAUCAUGAUGGAGAAAACCACAGAGACAGCUGACCCAAGCUGGUGGGAGCUCAUGGACUCCAGCCUGUCAGCUGGGGAACUUGCAUGGGACUGAACAAGACCCUCUGAAUAUGGGUGACAGCUAUGUAGCUACAUCUGUUUGGGGAGGCCCUGGCAGUGGGACAAGGACUUAUCCCAGGUGCAUAAAAUGGCUUUUUGGAACAUAUUCCCUAGGGUGGGAUAUCUUGCUCAGACUUGACACAGGGGAGAGGGUCUUGGUCCUGCCUCAAGUAUUCAAGGAAAUAUAUAAACUAUUGGAAAGACUUAUUUUUCACUGUGGAAAAAUUGAACAUUAUUAAUAUCAAAAUGGAAAGUUUGGAUUUGGGGUGAUUUGAGGAAGUAUUUCCAGAAAUCAAGGAUAAGCAUGGAAAGAAAUAGAAUCUUGACAACAAUGGUCCCUAGAUUAUUGGUUUUGUUCUGUCUCAAACCAGUCAGCUCUUUGAACAUGAGACAGAAUCUCUUAAUUUUUCUUUCAGCAAUAUGCUUGGGUUUAGAGAAGGAGAGAGACACAUUCCAACUCCAAAGACAGCUUGAUUUAUAAUUGAAUCAGGACCACAACUAUUCUAGAGUUAAAGAGAUAUUGAUGUUAGGUAGUGAGAUAUUAUCCUGUAAAGUAUAUUGGUACCAAUAUGUCCUUCCUUUAUGCAGUAGACGUCUAGAUGACCAAGGCCUUAUGAUUUCUUAAAGAUGGAUAUUUCUAUUAUCCUGUAAAGACAAAAAACAGAACCCUGCCUGACCCUUGUUUGUUGAGUUUUUCUUACAACUUGUAGAGUUGUCACAUUGGUGGAUGAGCUAUUACUUCUCCUCAUCAAGGAGUUUCUCCUGUCUGCAGCAAAUUCUUAUUAAUUUUGUUGGUAUUCAUAGCAUUUCUUCUCCUGCAGAAACAAAAGCAAAACCCCUUCCCCAAAGUAAGACGUAUCCUGGUUUCCAUUCUGAGGUCAACACAUCUUUGAAGUAAACUGGCUGGUUUAGCUCAGAAGUUUUUUCUGUUGUCCAGUGUCUCUCUGAGUCUGUUGUCCCUUUCUCACCAGCAUUGGAAAAAUUCAAGAUUAAUAAAGCAUUAUGCAAUCUA